GACGAACGCUGGCGGCGUGCUUAACACAUGCAAGUCGAACGAUGAAGCCGGAGCUUGCUCUGGUGAAUUAGUGGCGAACGGGUGAGUAACACGUGAGUAACCUGCCCUUGACUCUGGAAUAACUGCUAGAAAUGGUAGCUAAUACCGGAUACGACCCUCGGCGGCAUCGCCAGGGGGUGGAAAGAAUUUCGGUCAAGGAUGGACUCGCGGCCUAUCAGCUAGUUGGUGAGGUAACGGCUCACCAAGGCGACGACGGGUAGCCGGCCUGAGAGGGUGACCGGCCACACUGGGACUGAGACACGGCCCAGACUCCUACGGGAGGCAGCAGUGGGGAAUAUUGCACAGUGGGCGCAAGCCUGAUGCAGCAACGCCGCGUGAGGGAUGACGGCCUUCGGGUUGUAAACCUCUUUUAGUAGGGAAGAAGCGAAAGUGACGGUACCUGCAGAAAAAGCACCGGCUAACUACGUGCCAGCAGCCGCAGUAA
rnacentral:rRNA from 1 species